GACGAACGCUGGCGGCGCGCUUAACACAUGCAAGUCGAGCGAAGCGGCGGACGGGUGAGUAACACGUGAGUAACCUGCCUUAGACAUUGGGAUAGCCUCGGGAAACCGGGAUUAAUACCAAAUGGUCUAAGAUGGACUCGCGUCCCAUUAGCAAGGUGGUAGGUAACGGCCCAUCAAGGCGACGAUGGGUAGCCGGCCUGGGAAGGGGAACGGCGAAAUUGAAACUGAGAAACGGUCCAAAGUCUACGGGGGGCAGCAGUGGGGAAUAUUGCACAAUGGAGAGAACGCUGAUGCAGCGACGCCGCGUGAGCGAAGAAGGCUUUCGAGUCGUAAAGUUCUUUUAUAAGGGAAGCGGUACCAUAAGAAAAAGCCCCGGCUAACUACGUGCCAGCAGCCGCGGUAAUUC
rnacentral:rRNA from 1 species